GGGGAAUAUUGCACAAUGGGGGAAACCCUGAUGCAGCGACGCCGCGUGAGUGAAGAAGGUCUUCGGAUCGUAAAACUCUGUCCUUGGUGAAGAUAAUGACGGUAGCCAAGGAGGAAGCCCCGGCUAACUACGUGCCAGCAGCCGCGGUAAUACGUAGGGGGCUAGCGUUGUCCGGAUUUACUGGGCGUAAAGGGUGAGUAGGCGGUUGCAUAAGUCAGAUGUAAAAGGCUAAGGCUUAACCAUAGUAUGCAUUUGAAACUGUGUGACUUGAGAACAGGAGAGGUAAGUGGAAUUCCUAGUGUAGCGGUGAAAUGCGUAGAUAUUAGGAGGAACACCAGUGGCGAAGGCGACUUACUGGACUGUAACUGACGCUGAGUCACGAAAGCGUGGGUAGCAAAC
rnacentral:rRNA from 1 species